GGUUAAGCGACUAAGCGUACACGGUGGAUGCCCUGGCAGUCAGAGGCGAUGAAGGACGUGCUAAUCUGCGAUAAGCGUCGGUAAGGUGAUAUGAACCGUUAUAACCGGCGAUUUCCGAAUGGGGAAACCCAGUGUGUUUCGACACACUAUCAUUAACUGAAUCCAUAGGUUAAUGAGGCGAACCGGGGGAACUGAAACAUCUAAGUACCCCGAGGAAAAGAAAUCAACCGAGAUUCCCCAGUAGCGGCGAGCGAACGGGGAGCAGCCCAGAGCCUGAAUCAGUGUGUGUGUUAGUGGAAGCGUCUGGAAAGGCGCGCGAUACAGGGUGACAGCCCCGUACACAAAAAUGCACAUACUGUGAGCUCGAUGAGUAGGGCGGGACACGUGGUAUCCUGUCUGAAUAUGGGGGGACCAUCCUCCAAGGCUAAAUACUCCUGACUGACCGAUAGUGAACCAGUACCGUGAGGGAAAGGCGAAAAGAACCCCGGCGAGGGGAGUGAAAAAGAACCUGAAACCGUGUACGUACAAGCAGUGGGAGCCUCUUUAUGGGGUGACUGCGUACCUUUUGUAUAAUGGGUCAGCGACUUAUAUUCUGUAGCAAGGUUAACCGAAUAGGGGAGCCGAAGGGAAACCGAGUCUUAACUGGGCGUUAAGUUGCAGGGUAUAGACCCGAAACCCGGUGAUCUAGCCAUGGGCAGGUUGAAGGUUGGGUAACACUAACUGGAGGACCGAACCGACUAAUGUUGAAAAAUUAGCGGAUGACUUGUGGCUGGGGGUGAAAGGCCAAUCAAACCGGGAGAUAGCUGGUUCUCCCCGAAAGCUAUUUAGGUAGCGCCUCGUGAAUUCAUCUCCGGGGGUAGAGCACUGUUUCGGCAAGGGGGUCAUCCCGACUUACCAACCCGAUGCAAACUGCGAAUACCGGAGAAUGUUAUCACGGGAGACACACGGCGGGUGCUAACGUCCGUCGUGAAGAGGGAAACAACCCAGACCGCCAGCUAAGGUCCCAAAGUCAUGGUUAAGUGGGAAACGAUGUGGGAAGGCCCAGACAGCCAGGAUGUUGGCUUAGAAGCAGCCAUCAUUUAAAGAAAGCGUAAUAGCUCACUGGUCGAGUCGGCCUGCGCGGAAGAUGUAACGGGGCUAAACCAUGCACCGAAGCUGCGGCAGCGACACUAUGUGUUGUUGGGUAGGGGAGCGUUCUGUAAGCCUGUGAAGGUGUGCUGUGAGGUAUGCUGGAGGUAUCAGAAGUGCGAAUGCUGACAUAAGUAACGAUAAAGCGGGUGAAAAGCCCGCUCGCCGGAAGACCAAGGGUUCCUGUCCAACGUUAAUCGGGGCAGGGUGAGUCGACCCCUAAGGCGAGGCCGAAAGGCGUAGUCGAUGGGAAACAGGUUAAUAUUCCUGUACUUGGUGUUACUGCGAAGGGGGGACGGAGAAGGCUAUGUUGGCCGGGCGACGGUUGUCCCGGUUUAAGCGUGUAGGCUGGUUUUCCAGGCAAAUCCGGAAAAUCAAGGCUGAGGCGUGAUGACGAGGCACUACGGUGCUGAAGCAACAAAUGCCCUGCUUCCAGGAAAAGCCUCUAAGCAUCAGGUAACAUCAAAUCGUACCCCAAACCGACACAGGUGGUCAGGUAGAGAAUACCAAGGCGCUUGAGAGAACUCGGGUGAAGGAACUAGGCAAAAUGGUGCCGUAACUUCGGGAGAAGGCACGCUGAUAUGUAGGUGAAGUCCCUUGCGGAUGGAGCUGAAAUCAGUCGAAGAUACCAGCUGGCUGCAACUGUUUAUUAAAAACACAGCACUGUGCAAACACGAAAGUGGACGUAUACGGUGUGACGCCUGCCCGGUGCCGGAAGGUUAAUUGAUGGGGUUAGCGGUAACGCGAAGCUCUUGAUCGAAGCCCCGGUAAACGGCGGCCGUAACUAUAACGGUCCUAAGGUAGCGAAAUUCCUUGUCGGGUAAGUUCCGACCUGCACGAAUGGCGUAAUGAUGGCCAGGCUGUCUCCACCCGAGACUCAGUGAAAUUGAACUCGCUGUGAAGAUGCAGUGUACCCGCGGCAAGACGGAAAGACCCCGUGAACCUUUACUAUAGCUUGACACUGAACAUUGAGCCUUGAUGUGUAGGAUAGGUGGGAGGCUUUGAAGUGUGGACGCCAGUCUGCAUGGAGCCGACCUUGAAAUACCACCCUUUAAUGUUUGAUGUUCUAACGUUGGCCCCUGAUCGGGGUUGCGGACAGUGUCUGGUGGGUAGUUUGACUGGGGCGGUCUCCUCCUAAAGAGUAACGGAGGAGCACGAAGGUUGGCUAAUCCUGGUCGGACAUCAGGAGGUUAGUGCAAUGGCAUAAGCCAGCUUGACUGCGAGCGUGACGGCGCGAGCAGGUGCGAAAGCAGGUCAUAGUGAUCCGGUGGUUCUGAAUGGAAGGGCCAUCGCUCAACGGAUAAAAGGUACUCCGGGGAUAACAGGCUGAUACCGCCCAAGAGUUCAUAUCGACGGCGGUGUUUGGCACCUCGAUGUCGGCUCAUCACAUCCUGGGGCUGAAGUAGGUCCCAAGGGUAUGGCUGUUCGCCAUUUAAAGUGGUACGCGAGCUGGGUUUAGAACGUCGUGAGACAGUUCGGUCCCUAUCUGCCGUGGGCGCUGGAGAACUGAGGGGGGCUGCUCCUAGUACGAGAGGACCGGAGUGGACGCAUCACUGGUGUUCGGGUUGUCAUGCCAAUGGCACUGCCCGGUAGCUAAAUGCGGAAGAGAUAAGUGCUGAAAGCAUCUAAGCACGAAACUUGCCCCGAGAUGAGUUCUCCCUGACUCCUUGAGAGUCCUGAAGGAACGUUGAAGACGACGACGUUGAUAGGCCGGGUGUGUAAGCGCAGCGAUGCGUUGAGCUAACCGGUACUAAUGAACCGUGAGGCUUAACCUU
rnacentral:rRNA from 1 species